CAGCCGCCGCGGUAAUACCGGCGGCCCGAGUGGCGGUCACUAUUAUUGGGCUUAAAGCGUCCGUAGCCGGGUUGGGAAGUCCUCCGGGAAAUCUGGCCGCUUAACGGUCAGAAUGCCGGAGGAUACUCCCAGCCUAGGGAGCGGGAGAGGCCGAGGGUAUUCCCGGAGUAGGGGGGAAAUCCUAUAAUCCCGGGCGGACCACCUGUGGCGAAGGCGCUCGGCUGGGACGCGUCCGACGGUGAGGGACGAAGGCCAGGGGAGCAAACCGGAUUAGAUACCCGGGUAGUCCUGGCGGUAAACGAUGCGGACUUUGUGUCGGACAAGCUAUGAGCUUGUCCGGUGCCGGAGGGAAACCGUUAAGUCCGCCGCCUGGGGAGUACGGCCGCAAGGCUGAAACUUAAAGGAAUUGGCGGG
rnacentral:rRNA from 1 species